rnacentral:misc_RNA from 1 species
AUUCUCUCCGUUCACCAUGGAAGCCAGCGCUGGUCUUGUCGCUGGCUCUCACAACCGCAAUGAGCUCGUCGUCAUUCAUGGCCAUGAAGAGCCCAAGCCUUUGAAGAACUUGGAUGGUCAAGUUUGUGAGAUAUGUGGGGAUCAAAUUGGCUUAACGGUGGAUGGAGAUCUGUUUGUGGCUUGCAAUGAGUGUGGUUUUCCAGUUUGUAGGCCUUGCUAUGAGUAUGAAAGAAGAGAAGGAACUCAAGUUUGUCCUCAGUGCAAAACAAGAUACAAGCGUCUCAAGGGCAGCGCCAGGGUUGCAGGAGACGAUGAUGAAGAGGACGUGGAUGAUAUUGAACAUGAGUUCAAUAUUGAAGAUGAGCAAGAAAAGAACAAGCAUCUCACAGAGGCUAUGCUUCAUGGGAAGAUGGCCUAUGGAAGAGGCCAUGACGAUGAGGAAAAUAGCCAAUUCCCACCAGUUAUAGCCGCUGGAGUCAGAUCAAGACCAGUGAGUGGAGAGUUUCCUAUGGGAUCUUAUGGAGAUCAGAUGUUGGCUUCUUCACUUCAUAAACGAGUGCAUCCGUAUCCAGUUUCUGAGCCUGGAAGUGCAAGAUGGGAUGAGAAGAAGGAGGGAGGGUGGAAAGAGAGGAUGGAUGACUGGAAAAUGCAGCAAGGCAAUCUGGGACCUGAACCUGAUGAUGAUCCUGACGCAGUCAUGGUAGAUGAGACAAGGCAGCCACUUUCGAGGAAAGUACCAAUUGCAUCUAGCAAGAUCAACCCUUACAGAAUGAUUAUUGUGGCCCGGCUUGUCAUAUUGGCCUUGUUUCUUCGGUAUAGAAUAUUGAACCCAGUGCAUGAUGCAAUUGGGCUCUGGCUAACAUCUAUCAUCUGUGAAAUCUGGUUUGCGUUUUCAUGGAUCCUUGAUCAGUUCCCCAAGUGGCUUCCAAUUGAUCGCGAGACCUAUCUUGAUCGCCUCUCUAUCAGGUAUGAGAGGGAAGGUGAGCCUAAUAUGCUAGCUCCAGUGGAUUUCUUUGUGAGUACUGUGGAUCCUAUGAAGGAACCUCCUCUUGUGACUGCAAACACAAUAUUGUCAAUAUUGGCCGUGGACUACCCAGUAGAAAAGAUCUCAUGUUACUUGUCAGAUGAUGGUGCUUCCAUGUGCACCUUUGAAGCCUUAUCUGAAACUGCUGAAUUUGCUCGAAAAUGGGUACCAUUUUGCAAGAAAUUUAACAUAGAGCCUCGAGCCCCUGAGAUGUACUUUGCUUUAAAGGUGGAUUAUCUUAAGGACAAGGUUCAGCCUACCUUCGUUAAAGAACGAAGAGCUAUGAAGAGAGAAUAUGAAGAAUUCAAGGUUAGAAUAAAUGCAAUUGUAGCAAAAGCACAAAAGGUUCCUCCAGAGGGAUGGAUAAUGCAAGAUGGGACUCCAUGGCCUGGAAACAAUACUAGAGAUCACCCUGGAAUGAUUCAAGUGUUUCUGGGUCACAGUGGAGGUCAUGAUGUUGAAGGAAAUGAGCUCCCUCGACUCGUUUAUGUGUCUCGUGAGAAGAGGCCUGGUUUUGCACAUCACAAGAAAGCUGGCGCCAUGAAUGCCCUGAUUCGUGUCUCUGCAGUACUUACCAAUGCUCCUUUCAUGCUGAACUUGGAUUGUGAUCACUAUGUCAAUAACAGCAAGGCCGUUAGGGAAUCCAUGUGUUUCUUGAUGGAUCCUCAGACAGGGAAGAAAAUUUGCUAUGUACAAUUCCCUCAAAGAUUCGAUGGUAUUGACAGACACGAUCGAUAUGCAAACAGAAACACAGUCUUCUUUGAUAUUAACAUGAAAGGUCUAGAUGGAAUUCAGGGUCCUGUGUAUGUCGGGACAGGAUGUGUUUUUAGAAGACAAGCCUUGUAUGGUUAUGAACCUCCCAAGGGUCCUAAGCGCCCAAAGAUGGUUAGCUGUGACUGUUGCCCAUGUUUCGGACGCCGUAAAAAGAAGCAAUCUAAGAAAGGUGUCAAUGGAGAAGCUAUAAAUCUUGAAGGAAUGGAUGAUGACAAGCAACUUUUGAUGUCCCAGAUGAAUUUUGAGAAGAGAUUUGGACAGUCAGCAAUUUUUGUGACUUCAACUUUAAUGGAAGAAGGUGGUGUCCCUCCUUCCUCAAGUCCUGCAGCUUUGCUUAAAGAAGCAAUUCAUGUGAUUAGCUGUGGCUAUGAGGACAAAACCGACUGGGGAACUGAGCUUGGCUGGAUUUAUGGUUCAAUUACAGAGGAUAUCCUUACAGGUUUCAAGAUGCAUUGUCGCGGCUGGAGGUCCAUCUACUGCAUGCCUAAGAGACCUGCAUUUAAAGGUUCAGCACCCAUCAAUCUAUCUGAUCGGCUCAACCAAGUGCUUCGGUGGGCUCUUGGUUCAGUUGAGAUCUUCUUUAGUCGUCACAGCCCUGUCUGGUAUGGCUACAAGGAAGGACAGCUCAAGUGGCUUGAGAGAUUCGCAUAUGUCAACACAACCGUCUAUCCCUUCACCUCUUUGCCACUUCUUGCAUAUUGUACCUUGCCUGCCAUCUGCUUGUUGACAGAUAAAUUCAUCAUGCCAGAGGUAAUGAUAUAAUUGAUUUUUCUCCAAUGAAUCAUGAAAGACUAACAAAUAACACAUGCAUAGCUUUGAGAAGGCACAAAAGUUAAACAUGGAUUUUAUCAUCAGCCUAAAUUACUUAAAUUCAAGCCAACACGACACACGAGAUUCAUAAGAAACUCGAUGAAGAUUUAAGUAAAUAUGUUUCCAAAUUCCUUGUUAGCAUAAGCAUAGCAUGAACUGGUUUGUUUCUAAGACAAUAUUUAACAUAUUUCUGAUUUUAUUACAAUACAGAUAAGCACCUUUGCAAGUCUUUUCUUCAUUGCUUUGUUCAUAUCAAUAUUUGCAACUGGUAUUCUUGAGCUAAGAUGGAGUGGGGUGAGCAUUGAAGAAUGGUGGAGAAAUGAGCAAUUCUGGGUCAUUGGUGGAAUAUCAGCCCAUCUCUUUGCUGUUGUGCAAGGUCUUCUGAAGGUUUUAGCCGGUAUUGACACAAACUUCACAGUUACAUCCAAGGCAACUGACGAUGAAGAGUUUGGAGAACUAUACACUUUUAAAUGGACAACGCUCCUGAUACCUCCAACUACCAUCCUAAUCAUCAACCUUGUUGGCGUUGUUGCUGGAGUUUCAGAUGCCAUAAACAAUGGAUACCAAUCAUGGGGGCCAUUAUUUGGCAAGCUCUUCUUUGCCUUCUGGGUGAUUGUCCAUCUCUACCCAUUCCUGAAAGGUCUGAUGGGACGGCAAAAUAGGACACCAACCAUUGUUGUUAUCUGGUCUGUUCUCUUGGCUUCAAUCUUCUCCUUGCUUUGGGUUCGAAUAGACCCAUUUGUCAUGAAAACCAAGGGUCCUGACACCAAAAAAUGUGGAAUCAACUGCUAAGAAGUUCGUUUUAUAUGUGCAUCUCUGGAAGAUAUACGUACAUUCUCGCUUUUACAAGUAUAUCAAAUAUGAUGCAUGAGUUAACAAAAUGCAAUCACAAGAAAUAAAACUAGAGUGAAAAUUUUUGUGCAACAUUUUGCAAUGUACCAAGUUUUGUAACUGAAGUGAGAUUUGAUUCUUAUGUUGUUUUUUUACACCAACUUCCCCAAGGAUUGCAGAAUAAUUCCAAGUUACCACCCUCUAAUUGGGAAAUAAAAUAUAAUUUCUAAAGAAUAAGAAAUGGGAAAGAAGAUCCCAUAUAAAAGUCUUUCAAUAGUUCAAUCAAUGUGAAAGGCAAUCUUCCGAAGUAUACUAGAUGAUGCUUCAAGGAGAAGGUUUUAUUUUGUUUUUACCUUGAGUUUGUUUUCUAAAGGAUAGGCAUUCUACAGUAUUGUCCUCAGUUGCAAAGUAGAGCUCCUAUGCUUAUCACUGAAUACAAUGAGACUUGGCUCCAUAAACAAGCAAAUGGUUCACUCAUCAAAAUCUUAAAGAAAGAGUUACCCUUUUAACCUAUCAAUUGCGAGAUAGUAAUUAGUUCCAGAACCACCUAAGAAACAAUUGCAUUAUGGCAUGACCAAUGUGCAGUCCUAAUAGUGAUAGAACAAACAAAUAGCUCAAUAACAACAACAAUCACAACUAAACCUUAAUUCCAAAC